GGGGACGGAUCCGGCGGGACGGCGACCCUCGUUCCCCCUCCGGCAGCGCGUCGCUGGCCAAGCCUCUCCUUCGUGCGGAGUCUAAAGGCAAGGCCGUAAAUUCCGAGGGUGGCGCGGGCGCCGAGUAGCCGAAUAGGCGAAAACCUCCCUGGCCCCGGGGCGGCGAGAGGAUAGCAUUCCGUGUCCGGGA
rnacentral:sRNA from 12 species